GAAGAGCAUUGGGCUAGUAUUCCAAAGGUCGUAGGUUCGAAUCCCACCGUGGCCGGGCAUAUUUUUCAAGCUCGCCCGGUGUGGAUAUGCACUCAGAGUAACAUCGCAAACAUAUUAUUCACCUGAGUACACAACACCAACACAGAAAAAAAAAAAUUCAUAUUACAAGAACACAUUGGUAUUGAAGGAACUAGAUACUGUUCCGAAAUAUCACUUACUCGAACCGUCCUGACCGCGUAGCUCAGUUGGAAGAGCAUUGGGCUAGUAUUCCAAAGGUCGUAGGUUCGAAUCCCACCGUGGCCGGGCAUAUUUUCAAGCUCGCCCGGUGUGGAUAUGCACUCAGAGUAACAUC